rnacentral:tRNA from 1 species
GCCAGCGUGGCAUAGUGGUCUGAGUAAUGGACUAUGACUCUGGAGAUGAGGGUUCCAUUCCCACCUCAGCCA